GGUUAUACAGGUGAUUUUAUUAAAAUUUUUCGGUAGUAAUAAUUAAGUAUAAGUUAAGGAUUAUAAAGAUUUUUAUUAGGUGAAAUUUUAAAAUUUUAGUUAAUCUUUAAAAAAUUUAUAAAUUUAAUAAACUUUUUUUUAAACUAGGAUUAGAUACCCUAUUAUUUUUAGUAUAAAAUUUUUACCAGAUUAGUAAUAGUUAAAUUCUUGAAAAUUAAAGAAAAUGGCGGUAUUUUAGUCUAUUCAGAGGAACCUGUUCUAUAAUUGAUGAUCCACGAUUUAAUUUACUUAUUUUUAGUUUACAUAUCGUCGUAGAUGAAUAUUUUUAUAAAAAUUUAAUAUUCAAGAUUUUUUUUAUAAAGAAAAUCAGAUCAAGGUGUAGCUUAUAGAUAAGAAGAGAUGGGUUACAUUAAGUUUACUUAUAGAUAUAAAUAUGAAAAAUUUCUUGAAAGUGGAUUUGAAGGUAAUUUUAUUUUAAAUUAAUAAGAUGAUUUAAGUUCUAAAGUAUGUACAUAU
rnacentral:rRNA from 1 species